AGAGUUUGAUCAUGGCUCAGGACGAACGCUGGCGGCGUGCCUAAUACAUGCAAGUCGAACGCUGCUUAAGAAGAAACUUCGGUUUUUUCUUAAGUGGAGUGGCGGACGGGUGAGUAACACGUGGGGAACCUAUCCAUCAGCGGGGGAUAACACUUGGAAACAGGUGCUAAUACCGCAUACGGCUUUUUUUCACCUGAAAGAAAGCUCAAAGGCGCUUUACAGCGUCACUGAUGGCUGGCCCCGCGGUGCAUUAGCCAGUUGGUGAGGUAACGGCUCACCAAAGCAACGAUGCAUAGCCGACCUGAGAGGGUGAUCGGCCACACUGGGACUGAGACACGGCCCAGACUCCUACGGGAGGCAGCAGUAGGGAAUCUUCGGCAAUGGACGCAAGUCUGACCGAGCAACGCCGCGUGAGUGAAGAAGGUUUUCGGAUCGUAAAGCUCUGUUGUCAGCAAAGAACAGGAGAAAGAGGAAAUGCUUUUUCCAUGACGGUAGCUGACCAGAAAGCCACGGCUAACUACGUGCCAGCAGCCGCGGUAAUACGUAGGUGGCAAGCGUUGUCCGGAUUUAUUGGGCGUAAAGCGAGCGCAGGCGGUGAUUUAAGUCUGAUGUGAAAGCCCCCAGCUCAACUGGGGAGGGUCAUUGGAAACUGGAUCACUUGAGUGCAGAAGAGGAGAGUGGAAUUCCAUGUGUAGCGGUGAAAUGCGUAGAUAUAUGGAGGAACACCAGUGGCGAAGGCGGCUCUCUGGUCUGUAACUGACGCUGAGGCUCGAAAGCGUGGGUAGCAAACAGGAUUAGAUACCCUGGUAGUCCACGCCGUAAACGAUGAGUGCUAGGUGUUGGAGGGUUUCCGCCCUUCAGUGCUGCAGUUAACGCAUUAAGCACUCCGCCUGGGGAGUACGACCGCAAGGUUGAAACUCAAAGGAAUUGACGG
rnacentral:rRNA from 1 species